rnacentral:rRNA from 1 species
UGGGGAAUUUUGGACAAUGGGCGCAAGCCUGAUCCAGCCAUUCCGCGUGCAGGAUGAAGGCCCUCGGGUUGUAAACUGCUUUUGUACGGAACGAAACGGCGCUUUCUAAUACAGAGCGCUAAUGACGGUACCGUAAGAAUAAGCACCGGCUAACUACGUGCCAGCAGCCGCGGUAAUACGUAGGGUGCAAGCGUUAAUCGGAAUUACUGGGCGUAAAGCGUGCGCAGGCGGUGAUGUAAGACAGAUGUGAAAUCCCCGGGCUCAACCUGGGAACUGCAUUUGUGACUGCAUCGCUGGAGUGCGGCAGAGGGGGAUGGAAUUCCGCGUGUAGCAGUGAAAUGCGUAGAUAUGCGGAGGAACACCGAUGGCGAAGGCAAUCCCCUGGGCCUGCACUGACGCUCAUGCACGAAAGCGUGGGGAGCAAACAGG